GACGAACGCUGGCGGCGUGCCUAAUACAUGCAAGUCGAGCGAGUCUGCCUUGAAGAUCGGAGUGCUUGCACUCUGUGAAACAAGAUACAGGCUAGCGGCGGACGGGUGAGUAACACGUGGGUAACCUGCCCAAGAGAUCGGGAUAACACCUGGAAACAGAUGCUAAUACCGGAUAACAACAGAUGAUGCCUAUCAACUGUUUAAAAGAUGGUUCUGCUAUCACUCUUGGAUGGACCUGCGGUGCAUUAGCUAGUUGGUAGGGUAACAGCCUACCAAGGCGAUGAUGCAUAGCCGAGUUGAGAGACUGAUCGGCCACAUUGGGACUGAGACACGGCCCAAACUCCUACGGGAGGCAGCAGUAGGGAAUCUUCCACAAUGGGCGCAAGUCUGAUGGAGCAACGCCGCGUGAGUGAAGAAGGGUUUCGGCUCGUAAAGCUCUGUUGUUGGUGAAGAAGGACAGGGGUAGUAACUGACCUUUGUUUGACGGUAAUCAAUUAGAAAGUCACGGCUAACUAAGUG
rnacentral:rRNA from 1 species